rnacentral:rRNA from 1 species
UGGGGAAUAUUGCACAAUGGGCGCAAGCCUGAUGCAGCCAUGCCGCGUGUAUGAAGAAGGCCUUCGGGUUGUAAAGUACUUUCAGCGGGGAGGAAGGCGAUAAGGUUAAUAACCUUAUCAAUUGACGUUACCGACAGAAGAAGCACCGGCUAACUCCGUGCCAGCAGCCGCGGUAAUACGGAGGGUGCAAGCGUUACUCGGAAUUACUGGGCGUAAAGCGCACGCAGGCGGUCUGUCAAGUCGGAUGUGAAAUCCCCGAGCUCAACCUGGGAACUGCAUUCGAAACUGGCAGGCUAGAGUCUUGUAGAGGGGGGUAGAAUUCCAGGUGUAGCGGUGAAAUGCGUAGAGAUCUGGAGGAAUACCGGUGGCGAAGGCGGCCCCCUGGACAAAGACUGACGCUCAGGUGCGAAAGCGUGGGGAGCAAACAGG